CCCUCCCUACUCCACGCCCCCCCCCCCCCCCGUCAAGCCUUUGGCAUCAUUAUCCCAUCACUAAAUUCUACAGAGUACAGGGCGGAAAGCCGUGCACAC
rnacentral:lncRNA from 1 species